UACGUAGGUGGCAAGCGUUGUCCGGAAUUAUUGGGCGUAAAGCGCGCGCAGGUGGUUUCUUAAGUCUGAUGUGAAAGCCCACGGCUCAACCGUGGAGGGUCAUUGGAAACUGGGGAACUUGAGUGCAGGAGAGAAGAGUGGAAUUCCACGUGUAGCGGUGAAAUGCGUAGAGAAUGUGGAGGAACACCAGUGGCGAAGGCGACUCUUUGGCCUGUAACUGACACUGAGGCGCGAAAGCGUGGGGAGCAAACAGG
rnacentral:rRNA from 1 species